rnacentral:lncRNA from 1 species
CUCCUGAAAAGAUUAAAAGAGGCGAGCAUCGCGAACGGCUGACACGAGACUUCGGCUGCCGCAGCUGUCCCCAGCCUCAGGAAGCGCCAGUGGGAAACAACAAGCUUACGUCUCGCGGGAAGAGGCGCCUUACUGAGGCUUCUAGGCCGGCACUCACCGGUGCAUCGCUUGUAAUAAAAGUGAAGGUUAAUGCCUUGUGGACACCUCCCCUGGGCUGGGUACGUACGGCGCCUCCCGUUCAGCGCGGGACGACACGCCGCAAGGCAAUUGAGUGAGAUGGCGAUACGUAGCCAAGACCCAUGUUGUGUUUAUCUUACAUGACACGACGUGGAGGAGUUCCACGUGUGUGCAGCACGAAUUUGAUGUGAUUUCAUAGGCAGAUGCUGAGCCUGGCUCUCCCGAACGAGGAAGGGCCGGAACAGAUUCGGAGUGGUCAUUGACUGACAAAUUAUUGACGUGUAACCUAUUAACAACCAGCUGUGGACUUUUCAACACUCGUUUUUCUACCAGUUACGGCUCUCCUAGACGAGGGAGAGAAUAGUAGCAGGCGGAAGACGUUGCACAGACCCCGGGUUCAGCAGUGUACGGGUGAUCAGUAUCUUGCGGUGUCUUACGGUACAAACUGUGGAGCUCUCGUCAUACGGUCCUGUCGCCGUGUAUCAAUUGCACGGGUCAAGAAGAGGGCCACUGACAUGAUUCGGGGAUUGCAUGUUGCGUUUUCCUUCACGCGUGAUGCAACUCCACCUACACCGGUUUUCAAGUAUGUCCCAGUUACACCAGGGAAUUUCCCCUCUCUACAACAUCACACAGGACUGAAGUUGAAGUUUGUUUACCG